rnacentral:rRNA from 1 species
AGAGUUUGAUCCUGGCUCAGGAUGAACGCUGGCGGCGUGCCUAAUACAUGCAAGUCGAACGAGUUCUCGUUGAUGAUCGGUGCUUGCACCGAGAUUCAACAUGGAACGAGUGGCGGACGGGUGAGUAACACGUGGGUAACCUGCCCUUAAGUGGGGGAUAACAUUUGGAAACAGAUGCUAAUACCGCAUAGAUCCAAGAACCGCAUGGUUCUUGGCUGAAAGAUGGCGUAAGCUAUCGCUUUUGGAUGGACCCGCGGCGUAUUAGCUAGUUGGUGAGGUAAUGGCUCACCAAGGCGAUGAUACGUAGCCGAACUGAGAGGUUGAUCGGCCACAUUGGGACUGAGACACGGCCCAAACUCCUACGGGAGGCAGCAGUAGGGAAUCUUCCACAAUGGACGCAAGUCUGAUGGAGCAACGCCGCGUGAGUGAAGAAGGCUUUCGGGUCGUAAAACUCUGUUGUUGGAGAAGAAUGGUCGGCAGAGUAACUGUUGUCGGCGUGACGGUAUCCAACCAGAAAGCCACGGCUAACUACGUGCCAGCAGCCGCGGUAAUACGUAGUGGCAGCGUUAUCCGGAUUUAUUGGGCGUAAAGCGAGCGCAGGCGGUUUUUUAAGUCUGAUGUGAAAGCCCUCGGCUUAACCGAGGAAGCGCAUCGGAAACUGGGAAACUUGAGUGCAGAAGAGGACAGUGGAACUCCAUGUGUAGCGGUGAAAUGCGUAGAUAUAUGGAAGAACACCAGUGGCGAAGGCGGCUGUCUGGACUGUAACUGACGCUGAGGCUCGAAAGCAUGGGUAGCGAACAGGAUUAGAUACCCUGGUAGUCCAUGCCGUAAACGAUGAAUGCUAGGUGUUGGAGGGUUUCCGCCCUUCAGUGCCGCAGCUAACGCAUUAAGCAUUCCGCCUGGGGAGUACGACCGCAAGGUUGAAACUCAAAGGAAUUGACGGGGGCCCGCACAAGCGGUGGAGCAUGUGGUUUAAUUCGAAGCAACGCGAAGAACCUUACCAGGUCUUGACAUCUUUUGAUCACCUGAGAGAUCAGGUUUCCCCUUCGGGGGCAAAAUGACAGGUGGUGCAUGGUUGUCGUCAGCUCGUGUCGUGAGAUGUUGGGUUAAGUCCCGCAACGAGCGCAACCCUUAUGACUAGUUGCCAGCAUUUAGUUGGGCACUCUAGUAAGACUGCCGGUGACAAACCGGAGGAAGGUGGGGAUGACGUCAAAUCAUCAUGCCCCUUAUGACCUGGGCUACACACGUGCUACAAUGGAUGGUACAACGAGUUGCGUGACCGCGAGGUCAAGCUAAUCUCUUAAAGCCAUUCUCAGUUCGGACUGUAGGCUGCAACUCGCCUACACGAAGUCGGAAUCGCUAGUAAUCGCGGAUCAGCACGCCGCGGUGAAUACGUUCCCGGGCCUUGUACACACCGCCCGUCACACCAUGAGAGUUUGUAACACCCGAAGCCGGUGGCGUAACCCUUUUAGGGAGCGAGCCGUCUAAGGUGGGACAAAUGAUUAGGGUGAAGUCGUAACAAGGUAGCCGUAGGAGAACCUGCGGCUGGAUCACCUCCUU